AGAAGCUUAGGUUAGCCCAUUAAACCACGGACCUUCAAAGCCCAAAACAAUGAUUAAACUCCAUUAGCUUCUG
rnacentral:tRNA from 1 species